rnacentral:rRNA from 1 species
ACUCCUACGGGAGGCAGCAGUGGGGAAUAUUGCGCAAUGGGCGGAAGCCUGACGCAGCGACGCCGCGUGGGGAUGACGGCCUCGGGUUGUAAACCUCUUUCGACCGGGACGAAGAGUGAUUGACGGUACCGGUAGAAGAAGCACCGGCCAACUACGUGCCAGCAGCCGCGGUAACACGUAGGGUGCGAGCGUUGUCCGGAAUUAUUGGGCGUAAAGAGCUCGUAGGCGGUGUGUCGCGUCGGCCGUGAAAACCUGGGGCUUAACUCUGGGCUUGCGGUCGAUACGGGCAUCACUGGAGUUCGGCAGGGGAGACUGGAAUUCCUGGUGUAGCGGUGAAAUGCGCAGAUAUCAGGAGGAACACCGGUGGCGAAGGCGGGUCUCUGGGCCGAUACUGACGCUGAGGAGCGAAAGCGUGGGGAGCGAACAGGAUUAGAUACCCUGGUAGCGAGUA